rnacentral:ncRNA from 1 species
CUCUUAUCAAGAGAGGUGGAGGGAUGUGCCCGAUGAAGCCCGGCAACCGUCAGCAGCAAAUUGCUUGUUGAAAAGGUGCCAAUUCACACAAAGCCCCGUGCUUUGGGAGAUGAGAG